rnacentral:rRNA from 1 species
UGGGGAAUAUUGGACAAUGGGCGAAAGCCUGAUCCAGCAACGCCGCGUGAGGGAUGACGGCCUUCGGGUUGUAAACCUCUUUCAGCAGGGACGAAGCGAGAGUGACGGUACCUGCAGAAGAAGCACCGGCCAACUACGUGCCAGCAGCCGCGGUAAUACGUAGGGUGCGAGCGUUGUCCGGAAUUAUUGGGCGUAAAGGGCUCGUAGGCGGUCCAUCGCGUCGGGAGUGAAAAGCUGGGGCUUAACCCCAGUCCUGCUUCCGAUACGGGUGGACUAGAGGUAGGCAGGGGAGAACGGAAUUCCUGGUGUAGCGGUGAAAUGCGCAGAUAUCAGGAGGAACACCGGUGGCGAAGGCGGUUCUCUGGGCCUUACCUGACGCUGAGGAGCGAAAGCGUGGGGAGCAAACA